ACGAUCCGAGUCCUUGACUGCAACCACCCAGAGUCACCCAGCCAAGCUGCGUACACAUUACUGACCCUCUGAAACUCCGUGAGGUCCCAAGAACAUGCUUGGAAUCCGUGUACAUCACCCCAUGUUGUCCUAAAAAAAAAACUGGGACUUGUUGUUGUCAUCUCUAUUUUGUAGACCAUUAAGAGAAUCACAGGCUCACUGAAGUACCCAGCUAGCAAGCAUGGAGCAGAACAUCGGUCUACCUAGGUGACAGCUUGGAGAAAGCUGUCCUUUAGGAUCAGAUUUUCUCAUCUAUUUCUAUGCUCCAGUCUGUUUCUUUCUGUUCUAUAAAUUGUUCUCCGUGUAAAAAAAUAUUGACAAAAAUUAUCUGGGGGAAAUCAUGUGAAUUCCUGCAGCUACCAGGUAUAAAUUCUAAUGGAGAACAACAAAGUGACAUCCUGGUUGGGACUGGCCAAAAUCAGUUCCCAAGUCUGAUCAGCAAGGGCAUAAAUUAAUCUAGAUGACUGAGUUUAUGUUCAUUUUCUCCCUUUUAUUUUAGGAAUUUU